CGUUCUAAUAGUUUAAACUUAAAACAUUGAUCUUGUAAAUCAAAAAUAUUUAAUUUUAGAAU
rnacentral:tRNA from 1 species